rnacentral:lncRNA from 1 species
AAAUGUGCCAUUUUACUUUAAUCAUCAUUUGAUUUUUUUUCUCCAGGGUCAAAGGAAAGAGAAUCAAAGGCCUUUAAAACAAAGUCUUUGGGGACAUCUCUAAACGUUUUUAGUAGUGUAUAAGCAGCUAACAAGCAAUCCUCCUCAGUGAAACGAAUUGAUUAAUUAAGCAGUCUGAAGGAAUUUAUUUGAGAACUUCAGGCAGACAUUCAAGAUCGGAUCGGCCUCUGAUGACCCACGAAUAAGAGGCGGCUUUCACCUCCUAUUCCCCGCGGGACGGGGUCCCCCCAGAGAGCCGCAAUGGUACAUACCAUGACUUGUAAACACUAAAUGGUUUGAAAUCUGAUUAACUAAAAAUACCUCGACUUAUGCUUACUCUUGACAAUAAAAGUUGGUGAAGCU